ensembl:lncRNA novel transcript, antisense to KCNH8
GCCCCUUUACAGCCACCGUGGAAAGGACCUCAAACCAUCAUCCUGACCACCCCCACGGCUGUAAAGGUAGAAGGAAUCCCAGCCUGGAUCCACAACAGCCAUGUGAAACCUACAGCCACUGAAAACUAGGAGACAAAACCGAGCCUGGACAAGCCCUGCAAAGUGACUCUGAGGAGGACGACAAGCCCUGCUCCAGUCACAUCCAGAAGCUGACUGGUCUACGCACGGCUGAAGCAUGAGGAGAAUCAUCGUAAAACUCAUUUUCCUUAUAAUUUGGACUUGUAUAGUAAAAACUUCCACUGAUUUUCCCCGCAUGAAAGACUACUCUUAGUGUAUACAUCAGGUUACUGAGAUUCUUGGCCUUCCCACCCUACCCCGCAUGAUACAGAUACACUUUUAGGCAUCUGCAAUGGAUACGCUUGCUCCAGCCAAAGGGUAUUGAAAAAAGCAUGAACAGCUAAUAUGAAUGUCAAAAGGAAGUAACUUCAUCAACUGAAGAAUCUGGCCUGCAUAUCACUGGGCAUCAGGGCAUCUUUAUUGAAGAAGGCACAAAACCCUGGAAGCAUAAAUCGCCACAAGCAUUUAAAACCUGAACAUGCGAUAAAUAAAUCAACCUUAAAGGCCAUGUGGCGGGGAGCUCUUUACUCACCACUGUGACGUUGAAAGCAUACAGAAGAUCAAAAGGCAGGGCAGCGAUUAAAUCAAUGAUGAACCAGGUUGUGACAUAGUGGAUGCAAAUUGAUCUUGCUUCAAAGAUAACUUGGCCAGACUUGCUGACAUAAGUUGUUCGGAAAUUUAAAAUAAUAUCUGCUUGGGAAAAAAAAGGUUGAGAAAUAAAAGGAAGAGACAGAGAAGAAUAAAGAAGGUAGGAAGGACAAUGAAAGAAAGAAGAAAGGAAGGGAGACAGGCAGGCAAACAAGCAGGAAGGAAGGGAGGAAGAAAAUCGUAGAAAAUUAAAUAAAAUUAGGCAAAUGGCAACCACUUAGCCUAGUUCAGAUUGAUAAUAUCCAA